ensembl:lncRNA
UGAAAGUGAAGUCACUCAGUCGUGUCCGACUCUCUGCGACCCCAUGGACCGUAGCCCACCAGGCUCCUCCGUCCAUGGAAUUUUCCAGAGCAAAUACAUAAAGACUGGAUGGAUAAUAUAAAUGAUUUAUGUUAUUUGUUCAAUUUAUACAUCUUUAUUGGGAUUCUUCUGUGUCUACUGAAGAUACAAGGAUGAAAAAGAAAAUCAUGUCCUUAUUCUCAAGGCCUUUACAUUCUAGUGAAAAAAUUGAAUUGCCAUUGUGACCACUGAAUUCUUCGUGAGAACCUUUCCUGCUUCAACUUUGCCAAAAAAUCAUAUGCUAACUAAAAACCUAACAAACUCACCUGGGAAGAUCUUGGGAAGAAUGGGACUUAGAAUGAGUAGCUGUAAGGAAAGUCAGAAAAUGUGACCCUUUGAAAGCGAAGUGAGCGCAAUACACAGCAAG